rnacentral:rRNA from 1 species
GUAAUAGUUAUGUUCUUGAAACCCAAAGAAUUUGGCGGUAUUUUAGUCUUUUCAGAGGAACCUGUUCUGUAAUCGAUAAUCCACGAUUUUAUUGACUCACGCUUUGUUUUCAGUUUUUAUAUCUCCGUCAUAAGAAUAUUUUUUUAGAAAAAAUUUUCUUAAUUGUCAAACACAAUUAUGUCAGGUCAAGGUGAAGCUAAUAGUUGAGUAGAAAUGGGUUACAAUAAAUUUAUUUAUACGGAUUUUUUAUAUUGUAAUGAUUAUGAAGGUGGAUUUGUAAGUAAAAUUUAACUAAUUAGUUUUUUUGAUUUUAGCUCUAAAAUAUGCACACAUCGCCCG